rnacentral:rRNA from 1 species
UACGAAGGGGGCUAGCGUUGCUCGGAAUCACUGGGCGUAAAGGGCGCGUAGGCGGACAGUUAAGUCAGAGGUGAAAGCCCAGGGCUCAACCCUGGAAUUGCCUUUGAUACUGGCUGUCUUGAGUGCGGGAGAGGUGUGUGGAACUCCGAGUGUAGAGGUGAAAUUCGUAGAUAUUCGGAAGAACACCAGUGGCGAAGGCGACACACUGGCCCGUAACUGACGCUGAGGCGCGAAAGCGUGGGGAGCAAACAGG